CGCUGAAGGAGGAGCUUGCUUCUCUGGAUGAGUUGCGAACGGGUGAGUAACGCGUAGGUAACCUGCCUGGUAGCGGGGGAUAACUAUUGGAAACGAUGGCUAAUACCGCAUAACAGUAGAUGUUGCAUGACAUUUGCUUAAAAGGUGCAAUUGCAUCACUACCAGAUGGACCUGCGUUGUAUUAGCUAGUUGGUGGGGUAACGGCUCACCAAGGCGACGAUACAUAGCCGACCUGAGAGGGUGAUCGGCCACACUGGGACUGAGACACGGCCCAGACUCCUACGGGAGGCAGCAGUAGGGAAUCUUCGGCAAUGGACGGAAGUCUGACCGAGCAACGCCGCGUGAGUGAAGAAGGUUUUCGGAUCGUAAAGCUCUGUUGUAAGAGAAGAACGAGUGUGAGAGUGGAAAGUUCACACUGUGACGGUAUCUUACCAGAAAGGGACGGCUAACUACGUGCCAGCAGCCGCGGUAAUACGUAGGUCCCGAGCGUUGUCCGGAUUUAUUGGGCGUAAAGCGAGCGCAGGCGGUUAGAUAAGUCUGAAGUUAAAGGCUGUGGCUUAACCAUAGUACGCUUUGGAAACUGUUUAACUUGAGUGCAAGAGGGGAGAGUGGAAUUCCAUGUGUAGCGGUGAAAUGCGUAGAUAUAUGGAGGAACACCGGUGGCGAAAGCGGCUCUCUGGCUUGUAACUGACGCUGAGGCUCGAAAGCGUGGGGAGCAAACAGGAUUAGAUACCUGGUAGUCCACGCCGUAAACGAUGAGUGCUAGGUGUUAGACCCUUU
rnacentral:rRNA from 1 species